rnacentral:rRNA from 1 species
GACGAACGCUGGCGGCAGGCUUAAUACAUGCAAGUCGAGCGAGCGGCGGACGGGUGAGAAAUGUCUGGGAAACUGCCUGAUGGAGGGGGAUAACUACUGGAAACGGUAGCUAAUACAGCAUACCAUAAGAGGUGCCCAGAUGGGAUUAGCUAGUAGGUGGGGUAAUGGCUCACCUAGGCGACGAUCCCUAGGUGGUCUGAGAGGAUGACCAGCCACACUGGAACGGAGACACUGACCAGACUCCGACGGGAGGCAGCAGUGGGGAAUAUUGCACAAUGGGCGCAAGCCGGAUGCAGCCAUGCCGCGUGUGUGAAGAAGGCCUUCGGGUUGUAAAGCACUUUCAGCGAGGAGGCGUUACUCGAAGAAGAAGCACCGGCUAACUCCGUGCCAGCAGCCGCGGUAAUAC